rnacentral:rRNA from 1 species
AGAGUUUGAUCCUGGCUCAGGACGAACGCUGGCGGCGUGCUUAACACAUGCAAGUCGAACGGUGAUGAUGGGGCUUGCCCUGUCGGAUCAGUGGCGAACGGGUGAGUAACACGUGAGUAACCUGCCCCAGACUCUGGGAUAACUCCGGGAAACCGGAGCUAAUACCGGAUAUGACACCAGCCCGCAUGGGCAUGGUGUGGAAAGUUUUUCGGUCUGGGAUGGACUCGCGGCCUAUCAGCUUGUUGGUGGGGUAAUGGCCUACCAAGGCGACGACGGGUAGCCGGCCUGAGAGGGUGACCGGCCACACUGGGACUGAGACACGGCCCAGACUCCUACGGGAGGCAGCAGUGGGGAAUAUUGCACAAUGGGCGCAAGCCUGAUGCAGCGACGCCGCGUGAGGGAUGACGGCCUUCGGGUUGUAAACCUCUUUCAGUAGGGAAGAAGCGUAAGUGACGGUACCUGCAGAAGAAGCACCGGCUAACUACGUGCCAGCCGCCGCGGUAAUAC